rnacentral:tRNA from 1 species
GCAUUGGUGGUUCAGUGGUAGAAUGCUCGCCUGCCACGCUGGCGACCCGGGUUCGAUUCCUAGCCAAUGCA